rnacentral:rRNA from 1 species
UACGAAGGGGGCUAGCGUUGUUCGGAAUUACUGGGCGUAAAGCGCGUGUAGGCGGGUCCUUAAGUCAGGGGUGAAAUGCCAAGGCUCAACCUUGGAACUGCCUUUGAUACUGGGGAUCUUGAGUCCGGGGAGAGGUGAGUGGAACUGCGAGUGUAGAGGUGAAAUCGUAGAUAUUCGCAAGAACACCAGUGGCGAAGGCGGCUCACUGGCCCGUUACUGACGCUGAGGCACGAAAGCGUGGGGAGCAAACAGG